AUGACCUCCCUUUUGAUGCUCGUCUCUUGGGAGAUUUGGAAGGAGCGCAACGCGAGAGUCUUCCGCAACUCGGCGACCCCCACCGCGGUGCUAGUGCGAAACAUUAAGGAGGAAGUUAGAUUAUGGGUGAUGGCGGGAGCGAAAAACUUGGGCGUUGUAAUGCCGCGAGAGUGA
rnacentral:rRNA from 1 species